AUGGCUGACAUGGCUGGAGCGGCCACUCUGACACGGCGUCGUUCUAAAUCCAAUCCCAUUAUUGCAGUCGUUUCAGCCGAGCCACCCAUAUGUGACGGGACGGCACGGCCUGACGUGGUUUUAUUGAUUCUGCUGUUCCGUGCCGAGAUAACAGCCGGAAUGGCCGAGUUCAAUAACAUAGACGACGCUGAUGUGUUACGGUUUCAAGGAAAUUAUACUUGCAUGUUUCAUGGAAAUAAUAGACAUAGUGGGGAAGUCAAAGUUUGA